GGCGGAUGUAGCCAAGUGGAUUAAGGCAGUGGAUUUGUGAAUCC
rnacentral:tRNA from 1 species